GACGAGCGCUGGCGGCGUGCCUAAUACAUGCAAGUCGAGCGAGCGGAGCUAACAGAUUUACUUCGGUAAUGACGUUAGGAAAGCGAGCGGCGGAUGGGUGAGUAACACGUGGGGAACCUGCCCCAUAGUCUGGGAUACCACUUGGAAACAGGUGCUAAUACCGGAUAAGAAAGCAGAUCGCAUGAUCAGCUUUUAAAAGGCGGCGUAAGCUGUCGCUAUGGGAUGGCCCCGCGGUGCAUUAGCUAGUUGGUAAGGUAAAGGCUUACCAAGGCGAUGAUGCAUAGCCGAGUUGAGAGACUGAUCGGCCACAUUGGGACUGAGACACGGCCCAAACUCCUACGGGAGGCAGCAGUAGGGAAUCUUCCACAAUGGACGCAAGUCUGAUGGAGCAACGCCGCGUGAGUGAAGAAGGUUUUCGGAUCGUAAAGCUCUGUUGUUGGUGAAGAAGGAUAGAGGUAGUAACUGGCCUUUAUUUGACGGUAAUCAACCAGAAAGUCACGGCUAACUACGUGCCAGCAGCCGCGGUAAUACGUAGGUGGCAAGCGUUGUCCGGAUUUAUUGGGCGUAAAGCGAGCGCAGGCGGAAGAAUAAGUCUGAUGUGAAAGCCCUCGGCUUAACCGAGGAACUGCAUCGGAAACUGUUUUUCUUGAGUGCAUUAAGAGGAGAGUGGAACUCCAUGUGUAGCGGUGGAAUGCGUAGAUAUAUGGAAGAACACCAGUGGCGAAGGCGGCUCUCUGGUCUGCAACUGACGCUGAGGCUCGAAAGCAUGGGUAGCGAACAGGAUUAGAUACCCUGGUAGUCCAUGCCGUAAACGAUGAGUGCUAAGUGCUGGGAGGUUUCCGCCUCUCAGUGCUGCAGCUAACGCAUUAAGCACUCCGCCUGGGGAGUACGACCGCAAGGUUGAAACUCAAAGGAAUUGACGGGGGCCCGCACAAGCGGUGGAGCAUGUGGUUUAAUUCGAAGCAACGCGAAGAACCUUACCAGGUCUUGACAUCUAGUGCCAUUUGUAGAGAUACAAAGUUCCCUUCGGGGACGCUAAGACAGGUGGUGCAUGGCUGUCGUCAGCUCGUGUCGUGAGAUGUUGGGUUAAGUCCCGCAACGAGCGCAACCCUUGUUAUUAGUUGCCAGCAUUAAGUUGGGCACUCUAAUGAGACUGCCGGUGACAAACCGGAGGAAGGUGGGGAUGACGUCAAGUCAUCAUGCCCCUUAUGACCUGGGCUACACACGUGCUACAAUGGGCAGUACAACGAGAAGCGAGCCUGCGAAGGCAAGCGAAUCUCUGAAAGCUGUUCUCAGUUCGGACUGCAGUCUGCAACUCGACUGCACGAAGCUGGAAUCGCUAGUAAUCGCGGAUCAGCACGCCGCGGUGAAUACGUUCCCGGGCCU
rnacentral:rRNA from 1 species